rnacentral:lncRNA from 1 species
UUCCUCUUUAAAUUUUUGUGGUUUCCUUCUUUCCUGCAUAAUAAAGUAAAGACUGUUUCUCAAAUUUCUCUCCUUUAUACUGUUUGUUUGUCAUAAAUCAACAACACGCGAUGCCCUUUGAUUCCUGUUUGGAUUUCACACCUUGACCUUUUGGCUUUUGCAGCUAAACCCAAAUGCAAGCAAUUGCCACCAAAUUACUUAAAAACCCUCAGAUUAGACCUGCUGUAUAUUUAUGUGUGUACAGUACAGAAAUUCUACCAGGACCAGGCUAAAGAAAGAGGAAGAAGCAACAACGACAACAAAAAGUCCACAUCCCAUAACAUCCGCCUCUCUGUUGGAAUUAAUUAAUACGAGUAUUGGGAAAAGCGGAUCAAAAGGCAAAAACCCUCUCUCUCUCUCUUUCUCUCCCCCUCACUCUCAACAUAACAAACUGUUAAAUGCAUCCCAAAAUUUAUCUUUAUUCCUGAAAAUUCAAUUUUUAAACAAAAGGGCAGGCAGGCCGACAAAGUUUGUUACUUUCUCAGGUCUUCUUCACUUCAAUCCUCAGCUGCCCUGCAAGCCAAGGGCUCUCUGCACAAAAAAGAGCCAAUCUUUAAGAGAAGGAUUUGCAAUUACCAAAUGGUCCCCAGUCUGCCGUGAAGUUUCUGAGGGACAAAAGGGAAAAUUGGUAGUUAGAAAUAGAACUUCUGUGGCUCCAUGAAGCAGUUCCAUCAACUGUAGUGGCUAAAUGGCUUAGGGAGGUAGGCAGCUGCUGUUACACAAAAAGUCUCCAGAACGUUGGUCUAUGGUGUGAUGGUGUAAAUGGCAUCUUUCCCAUUCAUUGAAGACGUGAUAUUACCACUUUACCCUCGUACGGUAUGAGAGAGUGCG